GAAAUAACAAAAUUAAAGAAUAAGCUUCUAACUUAAUUCUUAAGCGUUGAAAUACGUUUUUAUUUCU
rnacentral:tRNA from 1 species